rnacentral:rRNA from 1 species
UACGUAGGGUGCGAGCGUUAAUCGGAUUUACUGGGCGUAAAGCGUGCGCAGGCGGCCCGUUAAGACAGGUGUGAAAUCCCUGGGCUCAACCUAGGAAUUGCGCUUGUGACUGGCGGGCUCGAGUACGGUAGAGGGGGGUGGAAUUCCUGGUGUAGCAGUGAAAUGCGUAGAGAUCAGGAAGAACACCGAUGGCGAAGGCAGCCCCCUGGGCCUGUACUGACGCUCAUGCACGAAAGCGUGGGGAGCAAACAGG